rnacentral:rRNA from 1 species
AUUGAACGCUGGCGGCAGGCCUAACACAUGCAAGUCGAACGAGCGGCGGACGGGUGAGUAAUGUCUGGGAAACUGCCUGAUGGAGGGGGAUAACUACUGGAAACGGUAGCUAAUACCGCAUACCAUCAGAUGUGCCCAGAUGGGAUUAGCUAGUGGGUGGGGUAACGGCUCACCUAGGCGACGAUCCCUAGCUGGUCUGAGAGGAUGACCAGCCACACUGGAACUGAGACACGGCCCAGACGCCUACGGGAGGCAGCAGUGGGGAAUAUUGGAGAAUGGGCGAAAGCCUGAUGCAGCCAUGCCGCGUGUGUGAAGAAGGUCUUCGGAUUGUAAAGCACUUUAAGUUGGGAGGCGUUACCAGCAGAAUAAGCACCGGCUAACUUCGUGCCAGCAGCCGCGGUAAUUC